rnacentral:lncRNA from 13 species
CCUCUCUCUGCUGGGAGCAGGGGCAGUCCAGCGGCAAAUCCCCUUUCCAAACCUUUAUUCCCUAAUUAGAGCCAUCUGGAAGCCCUGGAUCUCAGUGGAUUCCGAUUAUCCAGCGAAUUUAAUCAUGGGAUAAUAGAAGCGUGGGCUGGAGCGGGCAGGAGGGCACCUGAAGGACCUUUCGGUGGCGCUGCCUUUGUCCUGCUGCCGGCUCCUUUCCCUGCUUCCCGCGGCUUUCAGGGCUGCAGGCAGCUCUGUCUCUAUAGAAACGGGCCCCGGGCUCUGCUGCAGGCGCUUCUCCAGGGCUUCAUUUCGGGAAAUUAACGGCAGGAGGAGGAGAGAAGGAGGGAUAAGGAAGGUCUCCAGUUUACACAUUGAGGGGUUGUUUUGCCCUAAUCGGGAGGGGAAAGGGGAAGGAAUAUUAUGGGUUGUAGAUAUUUAAUUAACAUUUAAUACACGUGGAAGAGUGGGGGCAUUUCCAUUUCUUUUGGCCCCCAAAUGGCCACAAUCAAACCACCGAAGCUGGAUGGAAAAUGGACACGAAUUAAUUAAUUAAUUAAUUUAUUUAUUUAGGAGAACCAGUCCCAGAUGGAUUUUCCUCCCGGUGUUUUUCCCUCUCUGAAGACAAACCCAGAAUGUUUCUUUGGAAUUUCUGCCACCAGGACUGGGGAAUUCUUCCCUGUGCUGGCACAGCCCAGAACUUCCUCAUGAGGUGCAGCCAGAGGGAUUUUUCAUGGGCACAUCCCAUGGAUUCCUCCAUAAAUCUCCGCACAUGAUCCGCAGGGAAUUGGAGGCCGGAUUUUGAGCGUGGGUAAGGGAGACCUGUGGGAAAGCAGCCGCUGAAGGCACCAGGACCACAACAAUCCCUGAGCUCCAUCGCCAUGGAAACAGCGAAUCCACGCUUGGGCCAUGGAUGCAAACUGGAUUCCAGCGGGAGCAGCGGUGGGACGGCUCUGGAACAGCUCUGUGUGCUCGGCAUGGAGGGGGAAAGGUGGGAGAAGGGGUUUCCAUCUCCAGCUCAUCCCAGUAUUUCUGGUGGGUGAUGCAGGGAAUAAACAGGAUAGAAGAAAGGAAGGUUUGGGCUCCAGUGGCUGCAGGGCCAGCCCUCACCGGGCUCUUGGAUUUCAGAAUGCUUGGAAUGAGCUCAUCCCACAAAAAGGAGCUGUGGACAUUUCCUGGAUCAAGCUGAGGGUGGGGAAACCCUGGCAGAGAAGCUGUGGCUGCCCUGGAUCCCUGGAAGUGUCGAGGAGAAUCCAAGCGGGAAUUCAGCAGGAGAGAACACAGACCGGCUGUGCAAUCAAUCAAUCAAUCAAUCCUUGUUAAUUACAGUUCUCUUUAAGGAGCAGAAGCAGCAGGGCUGGGUUCAGAUGUUGGUUAAUUCAUGAAAAUAAAGUGAGCACACCAUAAAAAUGGAAUAUUGACACGAGGAAGCCCCUAAAAUAAAGAAAUCAGCGCGGCCACGUGCCUGUGCUUGCGCCUCACCUUCUCACGGACACCUCACUGUCACCCAACCCCGGCCACGAAGCGCGGGAAUUCUGCAUCCAGCAGGGAUGGAUGGACAGACACAGCCCUGCCGCCCCUCCAGCACCCAGCCUCAGCAGGCUGCCUUGUACCACAGCAAGAAUUCCGGUCACAUUUGCUUUUUUUGGCACCUUUUCAUUUCAAAAUGGCAAUUUCGCAGUUAAGCCCAGCUACGUAUUUUUAUUAAUUGGAUCGAAGUGAGGCUCCUUCUCCAGCGUCUCCCCCACUUCCAGCGGGUUUUUGGAGGGUUUUUUCCAGCUCCAGCUCUUCUCCCUGGAACAUUUUCCAUUCGAUUUGUGGAGAUACCCAUGGGGGACCCCAAAUUGCACCCGGGCUGCUGUGCCAGAGUCAGGAAAUACAAUGGAAUAAAAUGGGAUAAGAUAUGGAAAACAGAAUAGAAUAUAGAAAAUAGACUAGAAUAUCAAAUAUCGAAUAUCGAAUAUCGAACAGAAUAUAAAGGAGAGGAAAGGAUAGAAUUAAGAGUUAGAAUUAAAAUAGAAUUAAAAUUAGAGUAAGUAUAGACUAGAACAAGACUAGCUCAAGAGUAAGAAUAGGAAAUAGAAUAUAUUAAGAAGAGAAUAAGAAUAAAAAUAGAUCGAGAAUAGGAAUAGGAAAUAGAAUAGAAUAAGAGAAAUAGAAUAAAGUAGGGUAGAAAAGAGAAUAAAACAGAACAGAAUUAAAAUGGAACAGGAAUAAAAAAAUAGACAAAAGAAUAAAAUAGUAUCAGGUUAAGAAUAAAAAUAGAAUACAGAAAAAGAAUAGAAUUAGAAUAGAAUAAGAGAAUAAGAAGAAUAAGAAUUAGAAUAGAGUAAGAGGAAUAAGAAUAAGGAAAAAUAAUCAAAUUAGAACAGAAUAAGAAAAGAAUAAGAACUAGAAUUAGAAGAACCUGCAGUGCCACCCAAAAACCAGACUAAACCAUGGAAAGGAACUCUGGGACUUGUACAAAGUCCUCGGGAGCACAGUGACAGUCACACACUGGAACUUCCAGGCAAACUGGUGGCUGAGGCGGCUCCAGCAGUGCUGGGCUUCUGAGGCCUUGUUCCGCACCAGCCUCUGGAACAAAAUCCCAGUUUUUUUCCUCAAAGCCCAUCAGCUCUGUUAUUAAUGGCCCAGCAGCGUGGGCAUCGCUGCAGGGUGGCCCAGGAGCCAGAGGUGCCCAUCCAUGGGUGCUCCUCUGCCCACUCCCGGCCAUGGCUGGGAGCACCCGGAUGUGACCCCAGGGGUUUUACUCCCAGCACUGCACUCUGAGCCCUGCUCCUGGCUGCUGCUGGGCUGACUCUCCUGCCCAGCCAUGGUGCUGCCCAUCGCCCCAUCUAUCCCAAACCUCCUCCAAGAUGGAGCCUCUGGGAAGGCCCCAAACGCAGCCCGGGGGCACCUCAACCCUUUGGUUUCUGGGGAGGUGCUCCACCACCUCAAGGCCUCAUCACAGAGCCCAGCCUGGCUUGGUCACAAACGAGGCUGGCAAAGGGAACCCAACCACAACCAGUGAGGAGUCAACCCCAACAUUUCACCAUUCCUACAACGUUUGACUUGUUCUGAAGCUCCCAGUGUGACCCUCAGCCCACAACAAGGUCAAAUUGCAUCUGCACCACGGCAACAGCAGCGAGGAGCAAGCCCCAGCGUGGGACCACCAUCCCCUGCCUGGGGGGGAAACAAAUCCAGGCCCAGAGGGAUCGGGGCAGUUGGGGCUCUGCCUUUGGGGUGCAGCUCAUCCAACAGAAGAGCCUGCUUGGCACCACGGGCACAUUCAGCUGCUUUCACGGCUGGCUGUUUCAGCAACGGGAGAAAUCCAGCACGUCCUGCUGAUUUUCUUCCACACAUAUUGUACAUUUUUAACAAGUUACUAAUUGUACCUGAAGUGUGAACUUGGGUCAUUUAUUUAUCGUUUUGCCCAGGCUUAGGAACAGAAGUUUCAUUCUCUAAACAAAGCCUGAUGAAAUGCAGAUUAUUUUUUUUCCCAGUAUUUUUUUCCAGUGGCUUUGACACCCCAAAAAAACCUGAAAGCAAACUAGAAACCAGCAGUGGAUUUAAGGCGAGCAGAUUUGGUGUGAUGGGUGAACUAAAACACCUCCUUGGAGGAAAAAAAACCACAUGCAGCAACAACUUGGGUGAGCAAACCACGACCCACAGCGGGAAAAAAACCCCAAA